ACUGAAUAGGAUUAAUGUAUUUAUUACAGAAGCUUAAAGCUGUUUGAGGAUCUUGUUUGAGCUCAGUCAGCUCCAACAAUGCCAGGACCAGGACCUCACACAAUGUAUACAAUUGGGUCUGGAGUUGGUCUGAUGAGUCUUUCUCAGGGAAGAUUUAGUCCUCAACACUGUAUCAUCUACGCUACAAAUGCCUUCUUAGGUCCAGAUUUAGGUUCUUUCUCUGAAUGGCUUACUUCAACAAUUGGAUUUGGUCACAACCUGGGUUCUUUAAUCAUGGAUACCAUACAUCACCCUUUCUACUACAUCUUAAUUCUGGGGUUUCCUUUAUCAUUUUUCUACUCUUGGAUUUCAAGAAUUUUCCUUCAAAAGGGCAUACUUGAUUCCAUUUCUGGAGAUAUUCAUCCGAUCUCUGGUUCUUUGCCCUUUUAGGUUAUAUUAUGGAUGUUGAUAGAUUCUCUAAUCAGUGGAUUUUUGCCGGAAUCAGGAAGACUUAUAUAGUUUUUAAAAGAUCCCUUGAUCUAAAAUAGAUUUUCUCGGGCUUAUCAAAAUCGGGAUUCUUAAUAAGCUAGUAUCAAAUAUACUGAACAUUAGUGUUGGUGGCCGGAAUACUUGUGUUAUUUUUAUUAUUAGGCUGAGAUCCUAGUUUAGUACAACCUUGCUGUAAAUACAAAAUUAUUAGUUGGUUUCAAUCCAGCUGAAAAGUAACUUUGUGUUAUUAGGUACCUCUUAAUAGACUUCAAUGCUUACUAUUGGUGUCUGCUGGUUCUAUAUCACAUUUUUUCUUAGACCAUUUGUUGGAGGAAAACGGUCAUUCUUCGAUGUAUACUUGGAUAUUGAGUACUGGUUGGUGGAAAGGUAGAGCUCCUGUCAACAUGGAUUCCAUUGUUGUGGUAGGAUCCUUGUGUACCUGCUUAUUUGGAGGCUUCAUUUACAUCAACAGAGUGAAGCAAUCAAAAUCCUUUAGAACACAAUGGGUUCGAUCGGUGAAACUUAUUCUGGUUAUAGCAAGUUUGUACUGUGUUUGGUGUGCAAGUCAGCUAUACUUGAGGAAUCCUCCUCAACCAGCAGUGGGUGAAGAGGUAGAUCUUGGUGUUAUUGUGUUUCUUGUUAUUUAUUUAUUUCUCCCCCACAGUUUGUGUAUCAUGUCUAUGAACCCUAAAGAUAACCACCUUGACACAACAGAGCUCCCACUUUGACAUUCUUCCCAGUGUAAUGUAUUUUGUCAAAAAUGAUACUUUCAGUACACUAGUUAAGAUAAUUGUAUGUUGUCCAUCAGAAGUUAUUAUGAGGUUCUUGUAUUUA